rnacentral:miRNA from 1 species
UAGGGUGAAGAAUGUGUCCCAGUUUGCUUGAGACUUUCCUAGUUUUUAGCACUGAUAGUCCCAGGCAAACUGAGAUCAUUAAUCACCCUACAGGAUU